rnacentral:rRNA from 1 species
GACGAAGGGGCUGAGCGUUGUUCGGAAUUACUGGGCGUAAAGGCGAGUGUAGGUGGUUGUCCAAGUUGGAUGUGAAAAGCCUUGAGCUCAACUCAAGAAAUGCAUUCAGGACUGGGCGGCUAGAGGACCGGAGAGGAUAGUGGAAUUCCCAGUGUAGUGGUGAAAUACGUAGAGAUUGGGAAGAACACCAGUGGCGAAGGCGGCUAUCUGGACGGUUUCUGACACUAAGACUCGAAGCGAUGGGGAGCAAACAGG